AUUGAACGCUGGCGGAAUGCUUUACACAUGCAAGUCGAACGGCAGCACGGACUUCGGUCUGGUGGCGAGUGGCGAACGGGUGAGUAAUAUAUCGGAACGUGCCCAGUCGUGGGGGAUAACGUAGUGAAAAUUACGCUAAUACCGCAUACGAUCUAUGGAUGAAAGCGGGGGAUCGCAAGACCUCGCGCGAUUGGAGCGGCCGAUAUCAAAUUAGGUAGUUGGUGAGGUAAAGGCUCACCAAGCCGACGAUCUGUAGCUGGUCUGAGAGGACGACCAGCCACACUGGAACUGAGACACGGUCCAGACUCCUACGGGAGGCAGCAGUGGGGAAUUUUGGACAAUGGACGCAAGUCUGAUCCAGCCAUUCCGCGUGCAGGACGAAGGCCUUCGGGUCGUAAACUGCUUUUGUACAGAACGAAAAGGUCUCUAUUAAUACUAGGGGCUCAUGACGGUACUGUAAGAAUAAGCACCGGCUAACUACGUGCCAGCCGCCGCGGUAA
rnacentral:rRNA from 1 species